CCCCUCGGCACGGAGACACUGGGUGCUGUGUGACACCUCGCGAGUGCCAGGAAGGGACGGCGUAAUGGCGGCGUCCGGUUUCUUGUGCUCCUCGUCAUUUCAACGUCAUUUUGCCCCCCUGAGAUAUGGCCCUCCCUGCCCUGAGCAGACGCACUGUCCUGAGACCCGGGGGUGUACACACUCUGACUUUGACCUGUGGCUGUAGACACACACAUGUUCGCCGUCGACCACUGAGCGGGAUCGUGUUUUGAGAGUUCUUUGGCUGAGAAACCACCUGGAAGCGUGUCGGAGGCUGCGGGUUCAAUCUCUGGAAGAAUGGAUUUUUUCCUGGGGAAAGGGUUGAUUAUGGUUCUGUUGAUAAAACACUGUGAAGCACAAGAUCUGCCCGGCUCCCGGCCUCGCCUCCAGCCCCGCGGCUCUGCCCCACCACGUGCUGAGCCAACCCCAGGGGCCGCAGCCGUCCCCGGGGACCGCCGCCGCCCCGGCCGUCGCCGCCCCCAGCAUGAAGGAGGUGGAGCAGGCCGUGCAGGAGGCCUCGGAGCAGGUGGAGGGCGGGGGAGCGGAGGUGGUGCUGAAGGGGCUGCUGGAGAGGGUGGUGGAGGCCGCUCUGGGAGAGGCAGGGGGGGCGGAGGGGGGAGGAGCCGGGGAGGGCGAGGCGGAGGCGGCGGCGGACGGAGGAGUUGGGGGAACGGUGGAGCAGGCGUCUGAGGGGGAGGGGGCGGGGCUGGAUGGAGGCCUGGGGGCCGCGGCGGGAGGUCUGGAUGGAGAGGAGCAGCAGGAGGCAGAGACCGGGGGAUCGGACGCUGAGACCGCCGGGGCGGAGACGGACGCGGUGGGGGCUGACGGAGCAACCGGCUCCGAGUCGGAAGAGGCCACCGAAGCGGGGGUUGAGGAGCUGGACGAGACGGCGGUGGCUACACCCCCCGCGGCGUCUGAGGACACCCCCCCCGUGGUGCUGGUGGUGGAGCCCACAGACAUCCUGGAGAAGAUGGAGAAACAGGUGGAGGAGAUGAUCAUUAAAGCAGGGGGCGAAGAGGUGUUGAAGCCGAGCAUAGAAGGAGCCGGCGGAGAUAGCACCAAAGAAGGAACGGAGAGAGGGGGGGCGAGCGAGGAGCAGCUUGGCGCUACGGAGGAGCCGACCGGGGGAGAGACAGAAGGGGGCGCGGGGGAGCUGGGGGGAGGGGAAGCCGCUCAGCAGCCUGGAGGAGAUGUUGAAGCGAAGGAAGAGAGUAGUCACGUGCACGGAGCAGUCGGGGUCCAACUGCCCCCUGGUGGCGACGGGGGGGAGGACAGCGAGAGGGUUGGAGAGCAGGAACAGGAGGGGGCGACUGAGAAUGAGGCAGACGAGCAAGAAGUAGAGGCAGGAGGUUUAGAGGUGAACGGAGGCUUGGCCGGUGUGGUGGGGGGAGAAGAAAACGGAGAAGGAGGGGCCGGGGCCUGGGGAGACGGGCCCGGUUGGACCAGGGGAAGACGAGGGCGUGGCACUGAACGGGGAAGAGGUGGUGACACUGGACGGCGAUGCAGCCACAGAGGCCACCACAGAGUCCUCCCAGACCGGUCAGACGAAGGAACAAGAUGUGCUGGCCCUCUCCCCCGGGGCCUCUGAACACGGGGCUGGGGACCAGGCCCCCCCGGUCCAGGAGCAGGACUCCCUGCCUCGUCCCACCCUGGUCUGGGGAGAAACAGGAAGUGAGCAUGUGGACAGAGAGGACCCUUUACUGCAAGGGACCAACCACACCAACGAGAUCCCCACCACGGACCACCUCUUCACCCAUGGCCCGGCAGUCGCCACGGAAGCUUACCAGGAUUUGAUGGAACAGGCCCUGGCCACGCCCCCUGAGACAGAAGAGGCGGAGCCAGGUGAAGCCAAUGAGUUGGUGACGGAUGCUGCUGGUCCCUCAGAGGGGGGCUUGCUGGGCGUGGAGGCGUGGAAGAUAGGGGGCAUCGCUGCUGCAGUUAUCGUGGGGCUGGAGACCCUCCUCAUCGUGGUAUACAUCCUGAAGUGUCGCACCGGAGCCAAAAGUGCCCCAGUUCCGGGAGCCUGUGAGAAGGGCCAUGUGGAGCCAGAGACCCCCACAGGAGGAGACUGCAUUGACGACUAUCUUCCUGCGAGCAACGGGGACACCCAGCUGAUAGCAGAAUUGGAGCCAUCAGGGGGGAAGCUGCAUCAGGUACCACAGGAGCUGGCCCUGUCGGACCUCCCACCAAGCCCGGCCGAGCUGUUCCCCAGCGCUGGAUCGGCCAAGGGUUCCUCGUACGACCUGAGGACUUCUGAUCUGUAGCAUCGUGAGCCGUUGGUUCAUCUGUGACCCUCAGCCUGUCCCUCUGUCUUAAAUAAGGCCUGAACAUGAACCCGGUGCACCAGCCCCUGUGAAGACCCCCUCAGAGCAGAGGGACUCACAGAAGAUCCAGUCCAUUGGCUCUCUCUCCCUGGCUCUCGCUCCCCUCGCUAUACCGGGGUGUACCUUUAGCCUUGCGUACUGCGUGCAAGUUCAUGUUCUAAGGUGUGAGUGUGUGUGUGUGUGUGUGUGUGUGUGUGUGUGUGUGUGUGUGUGUGUGUGUGUGUGUGUGUGUGUGUGUGUGUGUGUAAACGGCAUGAGAAAGAAGGCAGCAGGAGUGUAUCUUGAUAUUUUGUGAGACGGGUAAUUGAUUGUAGAUUGUAAACACAAUUAAGUUCAUCAGGGGAUGCAUGUGUGUGUGUGUGUGUGUGUGUGUGUGUGUGUGUGUGUGUGUGUGUGUGUGUGUGUGUGUGUGUGUUUGUUUAAAUGAGAGGAGGAUAAUAACCUGUUUAUGAUCUUGGUCUUUAGUAUUCCCAUGUAACAGUUUUUUUAAGUGUCGGUUAUUUUGGUUUACUGAUCACAUAUCCGAAGUCACUCCAUACAACAGACUAUGACAGUCAGUCUUUAAACCCUGACAGUGACCUGUUCCAUAUUUACUAUUGUUUUUCAUUUUGUUUUUCUUUCUUUCUUUUUUUUUUAACACUGCAAGAACAACCAUUUUCAUGUUGCGUCGUUGUAAAGAUGGAUUCAAAACCAUUUGGUCUGAGUUUGAUUCCACGUUGGACACCUCUGAUGUGUGCUGUACAGAAUAAAAACCAUGUUACCAUUCUGUGAGCUCUAUUCAUCUAUCAUCCCACAUUCAUUCUGCUUAAGCACAAAGUAACAGAUUGGAACAGGAGAAGAAAAAAAAAAGAGCAAGCGAGCUCUAUUAAUAAAUCAUCUUCUAACGUUGCCAUUUGACACGUUUCCUGCUGGGCGUCAGAGUGCCCACAGAUCAGCCCCUCUUGUGCUGCGAUCACGAG
ensembl:lncRNA